GAUGAACGCUGGCGGCGUGCCUAAUACAUGCAAGUCGAGCGAACAGACGAGGAGCUUGCUCCUCUGACGUUAGCGGCGGACGGGUGAGUAACACGUGGAUAACCUACCUAUAAGACUGGGAUAACUUCGGGAAACCGGAGCUACUACCGGAUAAUAUAUUGAACCUCAUGGUUCAAUAGUGAAAGGCGGUUUUGCUGUCACUUAUAGAUGGAUCCGCGCCGCAUUAGCUAGUUGGGAAGGUAACGGCUUACCAAGGCAACGAUGCGUAGCCGACCUGAGAGGGUGAUCGGCCACACUGGAACUGAGACACGGUCCAGACUCCGACGGGAGGCAGCAGUAGGGAAUCUUCCGCAAUGGGCGAAAGCCUGACGGAGCAACGCCGCGUGAGUGAUGAAGGUCUUCGGAUCGGAAAGCUCUGUUAUUAGGGAAGAACAAAUGUGUAAGUAACUAUGCACGUCUUGACGGUACCUAAUCAGAAAGCCACGGCUAACUACGUG
rnacentral:rRNA from 1 species